GACGACGCUGGCGGCGUGGAUUAGGCAUGCAAGUCGAACGGUAUCAUCCUUUCGGGGGUGAGAGAGUGGCGAACUGGUGAGUAACACGUAGGUUAUCUACCCUCAAGACGGGACAACCCAGGGAAACUUGGGCUAAUACCGGAUGAGAGUGCGAGAGAUUGCAUUUAAAAGGAUGGCGAAAGUUGUCGCUUAGGGAUGAGCCUGCGGUCUAUUAGUUAGUUGGUGAGGUAAGAGCUCACCAAGGCGAUGAUAGAUAGGCGGCCUUAACGGGUGGUCGCCCACACUGGGAUUGAGAUACGGCCCAGACUCCUACGGGAGGCAGCAGUCGAGAAUAGUCUACAAUGGCCGGAAGGCUGAUAGUGCGACGCCGCGUGAACGAGGGAGCCCUUCGGGGUGUAAAGUUCUUUUCUAUACGAGCAGUGCUAUAUAUAUGGAUAGUAUAUAUAGAGGGAUAGUAGUAUAGGAAUAAGCAACGGCUAACUCCGUG
rnacentral:rRNA from 1 species